rnacentral:lncRNA from 1 species
UAAAAGGUUGUUUCUUGAGUCAUAGUGUUCUGGAAAGAACAGUAGAAGAGGAGGCCUUCACAUAUAUACAGUAAGCGAUGAUAAACCGCUUCUGACUACAGAGACAACAACAAAAUCUAAAGACCAUAGACUACAUCAUACACUACUUUUCACCAUAGGGGCAGCAAGUGAAGACUAAAGGCUAUACAUAUCUUGCUCGGAGUACCCCAAAAUGGGAAAGAUCCUGGUCUGAUCGAUAUGAAACAAAAGGCGGCUGUUUUAGUAACCACUGAAGCAUGCUGGUCAGGACACAUUGACCAAAGUUUACCAGAAACUAUUUCUGGUCGCUUCCAGGCACUUGCUCAAACUUCAAUUUGAUCACAAAAAUUGUAACUUCCAAUAUAUUUGUGUUGACUAUAAGAGAAUACAAAAAGUCAAAUCUCAAAGAAAACAUGGAUACUUUUCACUCAUACUACUUUUAUGCCAAUGAUAGCAUGAAUAUGAAGAACAAUACGCCACGGAAUGACAAAUGCAUGUGUAAGAGGUCAACAAUAAGCUUUGAGAUUUGGGGGGUAACAGAUGCAAAGGUGGACCUCUAGAACCAAAUAUGACAACGAGGUCGUCAACAACAACUCACAGGGAAACACCAAAGAUAUGUUGUCUACCUGAAAUUUCCAAACAAAUUGUAGAGCUAGCUGAAGAUACAACUAACAAUGUGUGCACAUACAAGAAACAUAUGCAUGUCAAUUCCAGAUAUUUGCAUGAACCUAAGCAAAAUAUUACAUGACCUUUUUAUGAAAUUUAUACUAUGCAAUGCUUAGGCUGUAUCAUUACCUGUUCCAUUUCCGGCAAAAGAACAAUCUAAACUCAGCCUGCAGCUUUAUUCUGAAAAAUGAGAUCAAUAAUUUGUAGGCAUCGUACAAUGAACUUUGUAGCUGCAGCAAGAGGUGUGUGACCAAAUUAUGCAUUUAAAUGAGCAGAAGCACAAGAAAAUUUUAAUUUGUGGUCAGUAUAGCAACCUGGUAGUAUAAAUAGAUUAUGUGUUCUCUUUGCUUACGUAUAAAUGCAGUCUGCCUUAAGAAUAACGAGCAGGAAAGCCUUAGGAUGGAUACACAGUAAGAAUGUAGUAAAUCUUUAGAAAUCUCAUGGUAAAAUGAAGCUACAAUAACAUGUAGGCAUGAACAGAGCUAGAUAACGGAAUGAGUUUAGCAAGAAAACUGCGCACGUUGUUAGAAUAGUGAGAAACAAGUGACCAAGGGGCACGCUGAAUAUCUCAGAAUGAAUUAGAGCCACUAAACUAUACAUCUUACAGGGCCUCUGCAAAUACAGUGCCUAUAGUUAUACGACAGCACAUAAAGUACUCCCUCCGUUCCAAAAUAGAUGACCCAACUUUGUACUAAACUUAGUACAAAGUUGGGUCAUCUAUUUUGGAACGGAGGGAGUAUAUUCUAAAGCAGGCUGGGAGCAUCCAAACAUGUUUUCUUUGCCAAGAAUUAAAAACAGAGUUACAUCUGGAUCUAGAAUAGAAAAAUAUACCUCUAGGACAGCUCUGCUUGUACAAGUUCUUGAUGGAUCGAACAUCUAAGAACUGAAACCAUGCUUAGCCAUCAAAGACGUAGGACUGAAUUUGCUGUUGGGGGGUCCGCAACUCGUAGAAUAUGCAUCAUCUGCAUUCUCCUUAACAACCCGGCAUUGAAACUGUACAGAUCAGCUGAACAAACACAUUAUC